rnacentral:lncRNA from 1 species
ACGAAUUUAUAAUUUGAACCAAAGAUUGUUGUUAAAGUUGAGUUUAUAUUACAAAUAUAUACCAUGUUUUAGCAGUCCGAUAUGGAAACGACCAAAAAUGCUUUGUUAUAAAAUAAGGAGAUAAUAAGUAAUGGCGUAAAAUAAAAAAAAAAAUCAUAGUCCCUACAAACAACAUGAGCCAAAAAAUGCACAAUCGUCGAUCAAAUAUUUCAUAAAAAUCUAAAUAAAUCCUGAGGAUGUUUUUUGUGCUUCGGAAGGGAAUGCAGAUUCUGAUUGCACAUUUAGUGUUGCUCUUGAUGAAUCAACAAACCGACG